CAAGUCGAGCGGACCGACGGGAGCUUGCUCCCUUAGGUCAGCGGCGGACGGGUGAGUAACACGUGGGUAACCUGCCUGUAAGACUGGGAUAACUCCGGGAAACCGGGGCUAAUACCGGAUGCUUGAUUGAACCGCAUGGUUCAAUCAUAAAAGGUGGCUUUUAGCUACCACUUACAGAUGGACCCGCGGCGCAUUAGCUAGUUGGUGAGGUAACGGCUCACCAAGGCGACGAUGCGUAGCCGACCUGAGAGGGUGAUCGGCCACACUGGGACUGAGACACGGCCCAGACUCCUACGGGAGGCAGCAGUAGGGAAUCUUCCGCAAUGGACGAAAGUCUGACGGAGCAACGCCGCGUGAGUGAUGAAGGUUUUCGGAUCGUAAAACUCUGUUGUUAGGGAAGAACAAGUACCGUUCGAAUAGGGCGGCACCUUGACGGUACCUAACCAGAAAGCCACGGCUAACUACGUGCCAGCAGCCGCGGUAAUACGUAGGUGGCAAGCGUUGUCCGGAAUUAUUGGGCGUAAAGCGCGCGCAGGCGGUUUCUUAAGUCUGAUGUGAAAGCCCCCGGCUCAACCGGGGAGGGUCAUUGGAAACUGGGGAACUUGAGUGCAGAAGAGGAGAGUGGAAUUCCACGUGUAGCGGUGAAAUGCGUAGAGAUGUGGAGGAACACCAGUGGCGAAGGCGACUCUCUGGUCUGUAACUGACGCUGAGGCGC
rnacentral:rRNA from 1 species